CCUACGGGGGGCAGCAGUGGGGGAUAUUGCACAAUGGGGGAAACCCUGAUGCAGCGACGCCGCGUGUAGGAAGACGGUCCUCUGGAUUGUAAACUACUGUCCCCAGGGACGAAGAUGACGGUACCUGGGGAGGAAGCUCCGGCGAACCACGUGCCAGCAGCCGCGGUAUUACGUAGGGAGCGAGCGUUGUCCGGAAUUACUGGGUGUAAAGGGAGCGUAGGCGGGGAUGAAAGUUGGGUGUUAAAUCUACCGGCUAAACUGGUAGUCGCACUCAAAACUGCAGCUCUUGAGUGAAGUAGAGGCAGGCGGAAUUCCUAGUGUAGCGGUGAAAUGCGUAGAUAUUAGGAGGAACACCAGUGGCGAAGGCGGCCUGCUGGGCUUUUACUGACGCUGAGGCUCGAAAGUGUGGGGAGCAAACAGGAUUAGAUACCCCUGUAGUC
rnacentral:rRNA from 1 species